UUUUCAUAUCUAUCUAUAUUUAUACCAUGUCUGAACGCCUAUCGCGAAUCUCAGGAAGAAGCUGGUUCAACUUGGAAACAAGAUCAUUGAUCUGAUCAUCAAUAAUUCUUGCCCCACCUGAUUGUCUUGACCUUGAUCUUCUGCUAGACAUUUUGGAAAUACAAAGGCACUCUAGUGAAUAAACCAGCAGAAGUUCUUGUUAGAAGUGUUGUAGAAACACAGUUACCUAGAUCAUCUACGAUUUUGGUGGCUUACUUUGAUGGUCAGUGUCAUGAAGUUCACACAAUCAGAACCUGAAAUAUACUGUAGAUGUGAUUUCCUCUGAUAAAACCCUGCUGCUAUUUGUGAAGAAGAGGAAGGGUAAAUGAGGAGAUAGUGUUAGUGGUGGAGGGAUUUGGGUACUGAGCUGGCCGUUUAUUAGGGAAUGUGUACUGCUUGAGCUGCACACAAGUAGUGGAAGGGUGUGAAAAGGGUUGGUCAAGUAAUUGCAGGGUAAUUUACUUUUGGGUGGAGUUGGAUCCCAAAUUCAGAAUGGUUUUCUUUUCUCUUUUCAUUUUCUUUCGUUGGGAGGAUUGUAAUGACUUUUCUCUGGUUUGUUUUGUUUUUUUCUUGCUGUAUUAUUCAAGUCUAAGCAGGGUAGUGUCAUAUUUCCUCUGUAAAAGUAUAACAGUGCAAAGUAUAACAGUAUAAAAAUGUAUGGGUUGAAAUUUAAAACUGUUUACAAAUUCAAAUUCAUUUGAUAUAUUA